CCUCCUUUGUUGGCAUGCAUGCUGUUGCCCUGUACAUCGCAUGUGAGUUAUGGAGAGAAGCCAAGUCCAGUGCUAUGUUUUCGGUGCCAGAAUGUUCCUGACUUCUGGUUCUAUUCUCAAUCGCUGGUACAUUC